AAUUGACUUAAAAGAGUAGACAGAGUACAAAACAUCACCUUUAAUACUGGUAAAGAUAAUACUGAAUAGAGAGAGAGAGAGAGAGAGAGAGAGAGAGAGAGAGUGUGUGUGUGUGUGUGUGUGUGUGUGUGUGUGUGUUUCCUGCAAGUGGUGGGCUUCCUUAUGAGGUUCAGUAUUAUUAUGACACGUAUUUUCCCCAGCCCAGUCACAGAUAGUGCUAAGAGGACAGGCUGUUCCAUGAGAAGAUCUUGCCCAUGACAGGCUUGUGCAGAAUGAACAGAGAACAUUCAUUACGCAUAAAGACUUUCAGAAGUUCUACACUGCUUUAACUGCAGAGAGCGUCAAAGAAAAGAGUGUCCACAAUGGAAGAGAAAGAAGAAGAGGUGAAGUUAGGGGUGACCAAUGAAAAUUCCAUCUAAGUGACUUGGGGCAACACUAUCAUGUAUAGUGUUAAUAUACAUUAACACUCAAGGAAGAAUAAAGGACUUUCAAGUAAGGCCAGCUUUGCUGCCAUAUGCUGUACUUUUGCUGCUAUUGCCCUUCACUACUGCCAUGUAUGAUGCUUUCUGGUUUAUGUAACCUUCUGCUCCUAAGUUUCAUCCCGACUUUGGCCCACUGCCAUGCUCUGACUCUGAAAUCUUUGCAAGUCUUGGUACUGUCAGCCCAUGCUUUUGCUUGCUUAGUCCAUUCCUCUCCGUAUACAGUCUAGGACUCUUCCUGCCUGUCUCAUCAU
rnacentral:lncRNA from 1 species